GAGCUGGGGAGCUCCAGCCUGGAAAGCCCCAGGCUGUGGCCUAGCAUGAGGCCAAGAGAAAUACUGGUAUCGGAAGAGUGAACAAGAGAAUCAGUCCUCCCAACCGUGCAAGUUAAGGGAAUUUCAUAGCUGAAACGGAAAAUCAACUGAUUCAAAGGAGAUUCUAGGGGAGUUGAACCCAAGCUGCAACCCUAGAUCAAAACAUCCCCUGACCUUUGAGGAGUCAUGACCUGAACUUUGCACGUGAGCCCCAUCUCCAAUAUGUGAGAACAAAACCCUGGAUCUAAAUACACCUUCGCUUUGGAGGUGUUUGAAUUCUCAUCUGUGUUUUUGGGCUUGUCUCUGUGAGGCGUAUGUAGAAAGGGCAAUAUGGGCAUGAUGCGGGCUUGAUGCUGGAGGCUUGUAUGUUCUUAAAGUAUAAACAUGUUAGUCCUUCAUAGUAAUGUAUGCUGAACAUACAGGCCCACUCCUACUGUGGUAUCUGUGUGUGUUGCUCCACUGUCAAAUUCUGGGCCUAAAGCUAGUGUAACCUGCCUUUACCCCCAGGCAACCACUCCUGGGCUCUUUGGAAUGUCUAGGCUGAACUCUGUAAAUAAAGAAAAACUAAG